CCAGGUUCUGUGUCCAAAGCCUUCACUGACCUCUAGCCCAAGCACCCAGCCACCCCACCCCCACCACUACCAUGGCUGAAGACGCAGACAUGCGCAAUGAGCUGGAGGAGAUGCAGCGAAGGGCUGACCAGCUGGCUGAUGAGUCACUGGAAAGCACCCGUCGUAUGCUGCAACUGGUUGAAGAGAGUAAAGAUGCUGGUAUCAGGACUUUGGUUAUGUUGGAUGAACAAGGAGGUAAGUUGAGAUUUCUUCAGU